rnacentral:ncRNA from 1 species
ACAAAAGCGUUGAAGAGAAGAGUAGAAUUCAAAACGAUUUUUUAGAGAGCAUUAGGUUGGUGUAAUUAAUGUAAAUUGUUGGAUUUGAAAGAAAGGCUCUGAGUUUUUUGAAGGAUAGUUUGAUUUCAAAACGUGAGUGACCUACGUUACAGGGCAGAGGUAUGAUAGUACCUUGCGAGGCAUAUAUUGUGAAGUAUAUGUGAAUAUGGGUGGUAACACGGAUUUUACUUUCGUCCCAAGG